GGGAGUAAAAGUCGUAACAAGGUUUCCGUAGGUGAACCUGCGGAAGGAUCAUUAUUGGAUUUUGAAACUUCAGGCUGCUGCUGGCUCUCCUCGGAGGGCAUGUGCACGCUUGUUGUCCAUUAUUUCUCCCACUGUGCACAAAUUGUAGACCUUUCAGUAGGCCUACGUUGUUUUUCACAAUCUCUGAAUGUAAUAGAAUGGUUUUGAAUCUUGGGAAAUACAAUACAACUUUCAGCAACGGAUCUCUUGGCUCUC
rnacentral:misc_RNA from 1 species